CCAAACGGGGGUUGUUCAAGCAAGCUGCUGCUGCUGCUGCUGUUGUUCGCGUUUCACAAAUUUACAUUGGGGAGAAACCCUCUCUAACGCUCUGGCAAAUCCCGCUUUUUCGCGAGAUCUCCUGCUAUACAUAUGUAUCUUGCCUCUCGUCCUCUUUCACUUCCCUGCUAAGUUUCGUUUAUUAAGUUUAAUGACGCGGCGGUAGCUCGACCAUGCCAAAGAACAGGAAGGAACAAGCAACAACCGCUAAGUGCACCCAACUGUAAGACUAGAAAGAAGUGACGGGUAGUUGCACCAGCAGCCAGUAUCGGAGUCUCAGCGAAGAACAAGGAGAGAUACCCAAAAAGGCGAAGCAGAAUGGGCCUUUUUUUCGGUUGCUCUCUUCUGUUGGCCUCCUAACAACUUGCACGUCGAGCAGCAGUGGUCCGAUUCAAGAAUCAGUUUAUGACCGAAAGAAGGAUUAGGGAACUGUACAAAAAAAAAAAGGACUGACGAAAUUGAACUGAUACAAGUAGUGAAAGCACUAGCUGUGCUGAUAAGGAGAGGCGAUGCUCUGCGUAGUUAGAUAUUGACUUACUACAUCAACUACUAGUUAUUGCUCUGGCUAUAAUCCAGGAAAUGCUUGAAAUUAGCAGAAAACAAUUUCAGAAAAUCAGUGAUAUGUGGCAGACCGAGAUCAAUUCUUCCGGCCGUUGUAUACAGGAAUCAAUCCGUUUCUAUAAGGCAUGCGGACUUUUACUCAAACCACGGUGCUGGGCUUUGCGCGUUCGAAGUGGCUUUUCACGUUGCCCCAAGUUUCGCGACACUUCAACGACAAUCUUAAAUCGCUUUUACCUUCCUUAACUUCAAUAUCGCUGAAUCACGACGAAGGGAGCUGAAUCGUUGUAUUGUCAACCGGCUUUUUGAUAUGUGAAAAAGAGUCGCGCGCUUCCAUCAAAGCCCCGCGUUCAUUUGAAUGAAUGUAGUCACGUUCCAUGUUACGGAGACUAGCUCACUGACCUGGAAAACUUCCUCUUUAGCUGUAGUACAGCGCAUUUUUCUUUAUCCUUGCCAAAACUUUGUUGUAUUUAGAGGUCCUUAAUGCACCGGCCUUGUCAGAGCUUUCUAGUUUCACAGAUAUUAGUAAAUCCAGUUGUCACCUAUGAACUGUUCAUAAAUCCAAGAUGAGCGUACGCACUAUCUCGCAUCAUCUAAUAUUGGCUCAAGCUUUCCACUGGCAUUUAAAGAUCGAGGGUCUUCCAUUUUUUUUUUCUUUCAGAUUCCCUUCUGUGUCGUAUUGCUCUCGUUUACGGGGUGUUCGGACUAAACUUGGACCCAUUUCGCGAGCUGUACAUAGCAACGGCGGCUUGCGCUCAUCGAUAAUAGUUGAAAAUAAACGAAGGCGUACUUCCCGCGAACCGCUCUAUUUCGUCGGUUUUCGUUUCGACCUUUGCUAGUGGUGCCAAUCAAGAUCAUCAUACGCAUCCGUUAUGCUUUUGCCUACUCCCAGAACUCGCUGGUUCGGACCCAACUGCAGACAAAUCUCUUUAUAGCGGGAGAAACACAUCGCGUGUGUGCGUCCGUAUCAAAGCUCUUCUAGAAAGAUAUCGUACAUCACCAUGAGGGAGGCCCACGUUGCAACAAGCUUGUUGCAGGCAGAUUCAAGUCAAGAAAGCAGUGUCCAUUAUUAUAGCAGGGCACGCUUUGAGAGAAGGAAGUAUAGACGCCACCUAAGCCUUAGCAUGAGCUAAAGCCUUAGCUUUGCCAUUGCAACAGCUACCAGUACAUCUCGUGCCAAUUACUCUUCUCUUCUUCCUCAGGACACCGGCGGCAGCCUAGAAAGAGAUCAUAAUUCGUUCUUAAUAAAUUGCAACUUUGCUCCGACAACUUUGCAUGACGGUUGAAUUGAGAAAACAAAGAUGGCUGGACUGUACCCCGUAUGUCCAUAGGCGUGCUAGGGCACUGUGAGCGUACGUGCGGCCACACGAAAGAGUCAAGGGUCCUUUCAAGUCGUGGCGUUCGUUCAACGCCACGUCAAUUCGGCUUGCUUCUUACUCAGCGGGCGCGUCGCUUAGCGUUCGCCUCCUUCAAUAAGUAGGCAGCGGUAGCGGCAGCAUCGUCUCUCACCGAAUCACUUCCUGUUCCUGCUUUUACUUGUUCUCCGCCUUUUUUCGCGUCAUCGUGAUCAUCGCCGUCGGGCGUUGAACAAAAUACUCGUGCGCACAGACUUCCUGUAAGGAAAGGAAACCUUCGAACGCCAUCGCUUAGACCCCUUCGUUGAGGCUCUUUUAUUCUUUCGCCGACUCUCUGCCGUUAGCUAUAUCGGUAGUGCAAAACAGGGACCACUUCGUUCUCCCGUUUCUCGUGAAGGACAGAAAAUAGUGAAAGCUACCGAGAAACGAAAGACCGUACCAGAGAACCAACGACACCAACGGGUAGUGGCGGGAAGUGUAGGCUGCUGCCGCCGCCCGCCAUUCUACGGCCUAGCCACUUGCCAUGACAAACUUUUGACAACAAUAUCCCCAUGCCCUCGUGGCUCUCCGUCGCCAGUAUUUCUUUUUGGUAUAUGGAGAGAAAGAGUGCCAUCUGUGAGGGCGAAUUGACGGGCCCGUUAAGGUGGGACAGUGGCGCUCCAGCGCUAGCAAGUGAAGAAUAGGAGGAUCAGGAAAAGAAAUAGGAAGAGGUAUGAAGAGAGAAAUGUGAGAACGAGUAAGCAUGACCACUUCUGAGUGAGUCUUUUGAGCGACGGCCUGAUUACGCAGGCGACUUUUUCCCCAGCAGCGGCCCUGCCAGACUCAAUCAGGAGAGACCUGCGGAAGCUUCUGAGAGCCAACAGCGGUAGCCGCCAGCCGUCACUGCUCCCUGCGGUUCUUGCCUUACACCUGCUUGGUUCACCGACAAAAACUUCUUUUAUUAAUGUUCACACCGCGGAGCCUUACCUGUACCGAUUGCUACACCAACAGCAAUGUGUAAAAAGGCCAACUUGCGCGAUUCAGAGGAAAAUACGGAGUAAAAUCGAUGCUGAUGAUAACGUUGAUAAACUGAAGUCAGCGAUGCGUACAAAAGGAAAAGCACGCUGUUAACCAAAGACGGGCUUGGGGGUGUGUAAAUGUGCCUAGAUGUUUGCUUGUUCUCUUCCCAUUUUUAACCUUUACAAUAACAUGGAUGCAUAUAAUACUAUACAACGACACUUCUAAGCCAAGUAGAUGCCCGAAUAUUGUGAUCUACGACGUAGCAAUCAUCGAUACGACUGAUUUUUCCAAAGGGGAAAAACGUUCCCUCUUACUAUGUUGCUGGAAUUACCAGGAAAUUGUGUAUCAUUAGAAACAUUUGCUUCAUGGCAGUUUGCAAAAUGCUGGUAAAACUACUAUGACUAAUUCACCAAUACGAUGAUACAAAUAUGGAACUUAAAAUUAUAUAUAUAAAAUUCCAUCGCUUCAAGUUACAAAAAAAAAAAACCUCAUCCUUGAUGUAAUAGAAUUGUACUUGGGCUAAAAAAAGGACAUG